rnacentral:rRNA from 1 species
CCCUUUGGGGUGUGACUGCGUACCUUUUGUAUAAUGGGUCAGCGACUUAUAUUCUGUAGCAAGGUUAACCGAAUAGGGGAGCCGGAGGGAAACCGAGUCUUAAUUGGGCGUUAAGUUGCAGGGUAUAGACCCGAAACCCGGUGAUCUAGCCAUGGGCAGGUUGAAGGUUGGGUAACACUAACUGGAGGACCGAACCGACUAAUGUUGAAAAAUUAGCGGAUGACCUGUGGCUGGGGGUGAAAGGCCAAUCAAACCGGGAGAUAGCUGGUUCUCCCCGAAAGCUAUUUAGGUAGCGCCUCGUGAAUUCAUCUCCGGGGGUAGAGCACUGUUUCGGCUAGGGGGCCAUCCCGGCUUACCAACCCGAUGCAAACUGCGAAUACCGGAGAAUGUUAUCACGGGAGACACACGGCGGGUGCUAACGUCCGUCGUGAAGAGGGAAACAACCCAGACCGCCAGCUAAGGUCCCAAAGUCAUGGUUAAGUGGGAAACGAUGUGGGAAGGCCCAGACAGCCAGGAUGUUGGCUUAGAAGCAGCCAUCAUUUAAAGAAAGCGUAAUAGCUCACUGGUCGAGUCGGCCUGCGCGGAAGAUGUAACGGGGCUAAACCAUGCACCGAAGCUGCGGCAGCGAACGUAUCACUUAAAGCGAUUCAGCGGGUUACGAUUGACGGAGCGAAGCGACGUCAAAGCGUAUACAAAGUCGAGUCGGUUUAAGGAUACGUUCGUUGGGUAGGGGAGCGUUCUGUAAGCCUGUGAAGGUGGCCUGUGAGGGUUGCUGGAGGUAUCAGAAGUGCGAAUGCUGACAUAAGUAACGAUAAAGCGGGUGAAAAGCCCGCUCGCCGGAAGACCAAGGGUUCCUGUCCAACGUUAAUCGGGGCAGGGUGAGUCGACCCCUAAGGCGAGGCCGAAAGGCGUAGUCGAUGGGAAACGGGUUAAUAUUCCCGUACUUGGUGUUACUGCGAAGGGGGGACGGAGAAGGCUAUGUUGGCCGGGCGACGGUUGUCCCGGUUUAAGCGUGUAGGUGUGUGUUCCAGGUAAAUCCGGUUCACUUUAACACUGAGGCGUGAUGACGAGGCACUACGGUGCUGAAGCAACAAAUGCCCUGCUUCCAGGAAAAGCCUCUAAGCAUCAGGUAACAUCAAAUCGUACCCCAAACCGACACAGGUGGUCAGGUAGAGAAUACCAAGGCGCUUGAGAGAACUCGGGUGAAGGAACUAGGCAAAAUGGUGCCGUAACUUCGGGAGAAGGCACGCUGACACGUAGGUGAAGUGAUUUACUCAUGGAGCUGAAGUCAGUCGAAGAUACCAGCUGGCUGCAACUGUUUAUUAAAAACACAGCACUGUGCAAACACGAAAGUGGACGUAUACGGUGUGACGCCUGCCCGGUGCCGGAAGGUUAAUUGAUGGGGUCAGCGCAAGCGAAGCUCCUGAUCGAAGCCCCGGUAAACGGCGGCCGUAACUAUAACGGUCCUAAGGUAGCGAAAUUCCUUGUCGGGUAAGUUCCGACCUGCACGAAUGGCGUAAUGAUGGCCAGGCUGUCUCCACCCGAGACUCAGUGAAAUUGAACUCGCUGUGAAGAUGCAGUGUACCCGCGGCAAGACGGAAAGACCCCGUGAACCUUUACUAUAGCUUGACACUGAACAUUGAGCCUUGAUGUGUAGGAUAGGUGGGAGGCUUUGAAGUGUGGACGCCAGUCUGCAUGGAGCCGACCUUGAAAUACCACCCUUUAAUGUUUGAUGUUCUAACGUGGACCCGUAAUCCGGGUUGCGGACAGUGUCUGGUGGGUAGUUUGACUGGGGCGGUCUCCUCCUAAAGAGUAACGGAGGAGCACGAAGGUUGGCUAAUCCUGGUCGGACAUCAGGAGGUUAGUGCAAUGGCAUAAGCCAGCUUGACUGCGAGCGUGACGGCGCGAGCAGGUGCGAAAGCAGGUCAUAGUGAUCCGGUGGUUCUGAAUGGAAGGGCCAUCGCUCAACGGAUAAAAGGUACUCCGGGGAUAACAGGCUGAUACCGCCCAAGAGUUCAUAUCGACGGCGGUGUUUGGCACCUCGAUGUCGGCUCAUCACAUCCUGGGGCUGAAGUAGGUCCCAAGGGUAUGGCUGUUCGCCAUUUAAAGUGGUACGCGAGCUGGGUUUAGAACGUCGUGAGACAGUUCGGUCCCUAUCUGCCGUGGGCGCUGGAGAACUGAGGGGGGCUGCUCCUAGUACGAGAGGACCGGAGUGGACGCAUCACUGGUGUUCGGGUUGUCAUGCCAAUGGCACUGCCCGGUAGCUAAAUGCGGAAGAGAUAAGUGCUGAAAGCAUCUAAGCACGAAACUUGCCCCGA